GGUUUUUUUAGAGAGAGCUGUAGACUCCAUAAAAAUCUGCUUAAAGGAGGAUGAUCCCUCUAUUCCUUCUCCUGGCCAGACUUUUGGGUACAAGGAAGAAUAAGAAAAAAUGGAACUGGUACCACUAAACUCCUGAAUCUCUAGUGGGAUGUUUCUGGAGGAUUUGGGUACAAAUCUAACAAAAUCUCACCUGCUUCACUACUUUAGCUAAAAGACUAGGAAAAAACCCCUGUACCUCUGAAAGAGUUAUCACUGCCUUUUCUUCUUCAACAGAAAGGGAAACUGUACUGCAUUAUGAAAAUGAUGAUGACAACAACAAAAAAAAAGCAAGAAAAUAUAUGACUUCUUCAUCCCAUGGUACCACAAAGUAAUAGAAUUACAGGAAGAAAAGG